GAAAAAUUCGCCACCGGGAAUUCCGAAUGAUGCAACCGGAUCCUUCACCUUUAUUGCCUUUAUUGCCAACGGCAGCCCCAGCAGCCAGCUAAAGUUACAUGCCUCAAUGCAGCCUUUCCGGAAUGUGUUUAUUCUUGCGGGGAUCGGCGAAAGCUGCAAAAGCAUGACUCCUUCAGAAGAAGCAAAUGUGAAAUUCAUGUAACAAUCAGGAUGAGGAUGAUCGGAAGCGGCAUCGGUACUCCUCCCAAUAGCUCCCGCAAUCAUAGGAAGAAUUAUUCCUCUCAUCGACAUUAGCCAACCAAAAAAAAACCCGAUGAGACCGACGAAUGGAUUUGUACGGAUGGGAGGGGGAAGAUUGAAAGCCAAUCAUCAGCUCAUCGGGAAAAUCUUUAGGGGACUAAAUAUCCAACGCCGUAGCUGCAUAACGUUCUGAGCAAAGUAAUCGUUUGUCAUGAUCCGAAUCGUGAGGAGUCCUCGAUCAACUUUAUGAAAUUCAUUCAUGAUUCAAGGAACUUACAGUUGUGAUGAAUGUAAGGAACCUAAGGAACUUGUUCGAACAAUCCGACAUGCUUCGAAUUAACAAGUUCGGAGUUGCUUAUCGAUAUCCCUACACAGCAAAAAAUUUCUAAAAGUAUACGGAAUCUAAAACACGAGUAGUCUAAUUUUUUACAAGUGUAAAUCGAAGACGAUGUAAUUUUCAACUCCUUUUGAUGUAAUUUUAGUCUUUUUUCAAAAAGUGAAUAGAAAUACAUUGUUUUGCUAUAAUUUUACAUUCCGUGAUGUAAAAAUCAAGCGGUCAAUGAAUUUUAUAUCACAAACAGUGUAAAAUUGUAUGUUUGAUUUAAAAUUAAAUGGAAAUGUGCAACUUGUGUGGCGCG